rnacentral:tRNA from 1 species
GGAGCGAUGGCCGAGUGGUUUAAGGCGGUAGUCUUGAAAACUACUGUGGGCGCAAGCUCACCGGGGGUUCGAAUCCCUCUCGCUCCG